rnacentral:tRNA from 2 species
GGGGCCAUAGCUCAGCCGGGAGAGCAUCUGCUUUGCAAGCAGGAGGUCGGCGGUUCGAUCCCGCCUGGCUCCA